rnacentral:rRNA from 1 species
GGUUAAGCGACUAAGCGUACACGGUGGAUGCCCUGGCAGUCAGAGGCGAUGAAGGACGUGCUAAUCUGCGAAAAGCGCCGGCGAGGUGAUAUGAACCUUUGACCCGGCGAUGUCCGAAUGGGGAAACCCAGUGUGAUUCGUCACACUAUCGUUAACUGAAUACAUAGGUUAACGAGGCGAACCGGGGGAACUGAAACAUCUAAGUACCCCGAGGAAAAGAAAUCAACCGAGAUUCCCCCAGUAGCGGCGAGCGAACGGGGAGCAGCCCGGAGUCUGAAUCAGCUUGUGUGUUAGUGGAACGGUCUGGAAAGUCCGACGGUACAGGGUGAUAGUCCCGUACACGAAAAUGCACAGGUUGUGAACUCGAAGAGUAGGGCGGGACACGUGGUAUCCUGUCUGAAUAUGGGGGGACCAUCCUCCAAGGCUAAAUACUCCUGACUGACCGAUAGUGAACCAGUACCGUGAGGGAAAGGCGAAAAGAACCCCGGCGAGGGGAGUGAAAAAGAACCUGAAACCGUGUACGUACAAGCAGUGGGAGCCUACUUGUUAGGUGACUGCGUACCUUUUGUAUAAUGGGUCAGCGACUUAUAUUCUGUAGCAAGGUUAACCGAAUAGGGGAGCCGAAGGGAAACCGAGUCUUAACUGGGCGUUAAGUUGCAGGGUAUAGACCCGAAACCCGGUGAUCUAGCCAUGGGCAGGUUGAAGGUUGGGUAACACUAACUGGAGGACCGAACCGACUAAUGUUGAAAAAUUAGCGGAUGACCUGUGGCUGGGGGUGAAAGGCCAAUCAAACCGGGAGAUAGCUGGUUCUCCCCGAAAGCUAUUUAGGUAGCGCCUCGUGAACUCAUCUUCGGGGGUAGAGCACUGUUUCGGCUAGGGGGCCAUCCCGGCUUACCAACCCGAUGCAAACUACGAAUACCGAAGAAUGUUAUCACGGGAGACACACGGCGGGUGCUAACGUCCGUCGUGAAGAGGGAAACAACCCAGACCGCCAGCUAAGGUCCCAAAGUCAUGGUUAAGUGGGAAACGAUGUGGGAAGGCACAGACAGCCAGGAUGUUGGCUUAGAAGCAGCCAUCAUUUAAAGAAAGCGUAAUAGCUCACUGGUCGAGUCGGCCUGCGCGGAAGAUGUAACGGGGCUAAACCAUGCACCGAAGCUGCGGCAGCGACGCUUAUGCGUUGUUGGGUAGGGGAGCGUUCUGUAAGCCGUUGAAGGUGGCCUGUGAGGGUUGCUGGAGGUAUCAGAAGUGCGAAUGCUGACAUAAGUAACGAUAAAGCGGGUGAAAAGCCCGCUCGCCGGAAGACCAAGGGUUCCUGUCCAACGUUAAUCGGGGCAGGGUGAGUCGACCCCUAAGGCGAGGCCGAAAGGCGUAGUCGAUGGGAAACAGGUUAAUAUUCCUGUACUUGGUGUUACUGCGAAGGGGGGACGGAGAAGGCUAUGUUAGCCGGGCGACGGUUGUCCCGGUUUAAGCAUGUAGGCGGAGGUUCCAGGUAAAUCCGGUACCUUUU